CGCGAGACUUUGGGAGGUGCCUCCGUGUGCCAAAAAUAUGUUGCGGGCACAGCCGCGCCUAAAAAUAACCACCUGAAGGCCGGGACGCCACGUUCGUCCAGCGGAAAAAGGCCACAAAAACGGGUGGGCUAUAGCCUUGGGGGGUGGGGCUGGCCAACUUCGUCCGCCGGACUCGGAAUGGCGCGAGACUUUGCGAGGCGCCUCUGUGUGUCAAAAAUAGGCUGCGGACACAGCCGCUCCCAAAAAUAACCACCCGAAGGCCGGGGCGCCAUGUUCGUCCAGCGGGAAAAUGCCCCAAAAACGGGUGGGCUAUAACCUUGGGGGGUGGGGCUGGCCAACCUCAUCCGCCGGACUCGGAAUGGCGCGAGACUUUGCGAGGUGCCUCCGAUUGCAAAAAAUAGGCCGCGGACACAGCAGCGCCCAAAAAUAACCGCCCGAAGGCCGGGGCGCCAAGUUCGUCCAGCCGAAAAAGCCCACAAAAACGGUUGGCUAUAGCCUUGGGGGGUGGGGCUGACCAACUUCGUCCGCCGGACUCGGAUUGGCGCGAUACUUUGCGAGGCACCUCCGUGUGCCAAAAAUAGGCCACAUGCACAGCCACGCCCAAAAAUAACCGCCCGAAGGCUGGAGCGCCAAGUUCGUCCAGCGGAAAAAGGCCACAAAAACGGGUGGGCUAUAGCAUUGGGGUGUGGGGCUGGCCACUUCGUCCGCUGGACUCGGAAUGGCGCGAGACUUUGCGAGGGGCCUCCGUGUGCAGGAACUAGGCUGCGGGUGGGCUAUAGCAUUGGGGUGUGGGGCUGGCCAACUUCGUCCGCCGGACUCGGAAUGCCGCGAGACUUUGCGAGGUGCCUCCGUGUGCCAAAAAUAGGCUACGGGCACAGCCGCACCCAAAAAUAACCGCCCGAUGGCCGGGACACCAAGUUCGUGCAGCGGAAAAAGGCCACAAAAACGGUUGGGCUAUAGCAUUGGGGGGUGGGGCUGGCGAACUUCGUCCGCCGGACUCGGAAUGGCGCGAGACUUUGCGAGGAGCCUCCGUGUGCCAAAAAUAGGCUGCGGGCACAGCCGCACCCAAAAAUCACCGGCCGAAGGCCGGGGUGCCAAGUUCGUCCAGCGGAAAAAGGCCACAAAAACGGGUGGGCUAUAGCAUUGGGGGGUGGGGCGGGCGAACUUCGUCCGCCGGACUCGGAAUGGCGCGAGACUUUGUGAGGUGCCUCCGUGUACCAAAAAUAGGCCGCGGGCACAGCCGUGGCCAAAAAUAACUGCCCGAAGGCCGGGGCGCCAAGUUCGUCCAGCGGAAAAAGGCCACAAAAACGGGUGGGCUAUAGCCUUGGGGGGUGGGACUGGCCAACUUCGUCCGCCGGACUCGGAAUGCCGCGAGACUUUGCGAGGUGCCUCCGUGUGGCAAAAAUAGGCUGCGGGCACAGCCGCACCCAAAAAUAACCGCCCGAAGGGCGGGGCACCAAUUUCGUGCACCGGAAAAAAGCCACAAAAACCGUUGGGCUAUACCAUUGGGGGGUGGGGCUGGCCGACUUCGUCCACCGGACUCGGAAUGGCGCGAGACAUUGCGAGGUGCCUCCGUGUGCCAAAAAUAGGCUGCGGACACAGCCGCGCCCAAAAAUAACCGCCCGAAGGCCGGGGCGCCAAGUUCGUCCAGCGGAAAAAGGCCACAAAAACGGGUGGGCUAUAGCCUUGGGGGGUGGGGCUGGCCAACUUCGUCCGCCGGACUCGGAAUGGCGCGAGACUUUGCGAGGCGCCUCUGUGUGCCAAAAAUAGAGCGCGGACACAGCCGCGCCCAAAAAUAACCGCCCGAAGGCCGGGGCGCCAUGUUCGUCCAGCGGGAAUAUGCCCCAAAAACGGGUGGGCUAUAACCUUGGGGGGUGGGGCUGGCCAACUUCAUCCGCCGGACUCGGAAUGGCGCGAGACUUUGCGAGGUGUCUCCGAUUGCAAAAAAUAGGCCGCGGGCACAGCAGCGCCCAAAAAUAACCGCCCGAAGGCCGGGGCGCCAAGUUCGUCCAGCGGAAAAAGCCCACAAAAAUGGUUGGCUAUAGCCUUGGGGGGUGGGGCUGACCAACUUCGUCCGCCGGACUCGGAUUGGCGCGAUACUUUGCGAGGCACCUCCGUGUGCCAAAAAUAGGCCACAUGCACAGCCACGCCCAAAAAUAACCGCCCGAAGGCUGGAGCGCCAAGUUCGUCGAGCGGAAAAAGUCCACAAAAACGGGUGGGCUAUAGCAUUGGGGUGUGGGGCUGGCCAACUUCGUCUGCUGGACUCGGAAUGGCGCGAGACUUUGCGAGGGGCCUCCGUGUGCAGGAAAUAGGCUGCGGGUGGGCUAUAGCAUUGCGGUGUGGGGCUGGCCAACUUCGUCCGCCGGACUCGGAAUGCCGCGAGACUUUGCGAGGUGCCUCCGUGUGCCAAAAAUAGGCUGCGGGCACAGCCGCGCCCAAAAAUAACCGCCCGAAGGCAGGGGCACCAAGUUCGUGCAGCGGAAAAAGGCCACAAAAACGGGUGGGCGAUAGCAUGGGGGGGUGGGGCUGGCGAACUUCGUCCGCCGGACUCGGAAUGGCGCGAGACUUUGCGAGGUGCCUCCGUGUGCCAAAAAUAGGCUGCGGGCACAGCCGCACCCAAAAAUCACCGCCCGAAGGCCGGGGCACCAAGUUCGUCCAGCGGAAAAAGGCCACAAAAACGGGUGGGCUAUAGCAUUGGGGGGUGGGGCUGGCGAACUUCGUCCGCCAGACUCGGAAUGGCGCGAGACUUUGCGAGGUGCCUCCGUGUGCCAAAAAUAGGCCGCGGACAAAGCCGCGACCAAAAAUAACCGCCCGAAGGCCGGGGCGCCAAGUUCGUGCAGCGGAAAAAGGCCACAAAAACGGGUGGGCUAUAGCCUUGGGGGGUGGGGCUGGCCAACUUCGUCCGCCGGACUCGGAAUGGCGUAAGACUUUGCGAGGUGCCUCCGUGUGCCAAAAAUAGCCCGCGGGCACAGCCGCGGCGAAAAAUAACCGCCCGAAGGCCGGGGCGCCAAGUUCGUCCAGCGGAAAAAGGCCAUAAAAACGGGUGGGCUAUAGCCUUGGGGGGUGGGGCUGGCCCACUUCGUCCGCCGGACUCGGAAUGGUGCGAGACUUUGUGAGGUGCCUCCAUGUGCCAAAAAUAGGCUUCGGGCACAGCCGCGCCCAAAAAUCCCGGCCCGAAGGCUGGGGCGCCAAGUUUGUCCAGCGGAAAAAGGGUACAAAAACGGGUGGGCUACAGCCUUGGGGAGUGGGGCUGGCCAACUUCAUCCUCUGGUCUUGGAAUGGCGCGAGACUUCGCGAGGCACCUCCGUGUGCCGAAAAUAGGCCGCGGACACAGCCGCGCCCAAAAAUAAAUGCCCGAAGCCCGGGGCGCC
rnacentral:lncRNA from 1 species